UCCCUCUUAGCUCAGUUGGUAGAGCGCGUCACUAGUAUAUGUGCUGACAGUGCAAUGACGAGGUCAGUCGUUCGAGUCGGCUAGAGGGAA